rnacentral:rRNA from 1 species
UACCAGCAUCCCGAGUGGUCGGACGUUUAUUUGGGGUCCGUAAAGCAUCCGGUUAGCCGGUUCUACAAGUCUUCCGUUUAAAUCCAACCUGCUUUAACAGAUGGGCUGCGGAAGAUACUAUAGAGCUAGGAGGCGGGAGAGGCAAGCGGUACUCGAUGGGUAGGGGUAAAAUCCGUUGAUCCAUUGAAGACCACCAGUGGCGAAGGCGGCUUGCCAGAACGCGCUCGACGGUGAGGGAUGAAAGCUGGGGG